rnacentral:rRNA from 1 species
AGCGUAGACGGUGUGGCAAGUCUGAUGUGAAAGGCAUGGGCUCAACCUGUGGACUGCAUUGGAAACUGUCAUACUUGAGUGCCGGAGGGGUAAGCGGAAUUCCUAGUGUAGCGGUGAAAUGCGUAGAUAUUAGGAGGAACACCAGUGGCGAAGGCGGCUUACUGGACGGUAACUGACACUGAGGCACGAAAGCGUGGGAAGCAAACA